rnacentral:rRNA from 1 species
AUUUAACGCUGGCGGCAUGCUUUACACAUGCAAGUCGAACGGCAGCGGGGAGGAGCUUGCUUCUCUGCCGGCGAGUGGCGAACGGGUGAGUAAUACAUCGGAACGUGUCGAGAAGAGGGGGAUAACCACCCGAAAGGGUGGCUAAUACCGCAUAAAUUCUGAGGAAGAAAGCUGGGGACCUCGGAAUAGGCCUAGCGCUUUUUGAGCGGCCGAUGUCGGAUUAGCUAGUUGGUGAGGUAAAGGCUCACCAAGGCGAAGAUCUGUAGCGGGUCUGAGAGGAUGAUCCGCCACACUGGGACUGAGACACGGCCCAGACUCCUACGGGAGGCAGCAGUGGGGAGUUUUGGACAAUGGGGGCAACCCUGAUCCAGCCAUGCCGCGUGUAUGAAGAAGGCCUUAGGGUUGUAAAGUACUUUUGUUAGGGAAGAAAAGUCAGCUGUGAAUAAUGGCUGAUACUGACGGUACCUAAAGAAUAAGCACCGGCUAACUACGUG